CCCCCGAUCCUCCACCUUCUUCCAGGGAAGGGCCUCGGCCUUCGCGAGGGGCCGAUGCCAGAUGACCCUGCCUUCCAAGGCGAAACCCGGAACCCGCUAGGCUCCGCGGCCCCAGCCCUGCGCCAAGGGCGCCCAGCGCGCUCUGCCCCGACACCUCCAGGCUGGACCACGUCUGAAAUCACGAGGAAACGCUCUUCAUUUCUUAUUCGUUUGUUGUAGAAAAUUCAAAAUAUAUAGGCAACACAUUGUGUGUGCUGUUCAGUCGUGCUGGACUGUUGCCCGACAGGCUCCUCUGACCCUGGGAUUUCCCAGGCACAGAGACGAUUGCAUCUCUCAGCCUCACAGCGGGGGCAGCAGGUUGGUCCUGACAAGUACAAAGUGGAAAGAAUGGAGCGGUGGAAAGUUCUGGACGACGCUCCAACCUCUCUCCCCUGGCUCUAGAGGCUGAGGAGACUGCAGAGUGGCAGCUGGCCCUCGUGAGAAUUACGAGAAGGCUUGCUGUCCGGGCUGCUCGGCUUGGUGAGAGUGCGCAGAGAGCGAGCUGGAUUUCAGCCUUGACCUGCCUCCUUGAUCGGGCGCUUGAGCAGUGCACGACCUAUGCAACCAUAUGGGGAGGCUCGACCGUUCACCUGUGGGGAGCAGAGGACACUGG
ensembl:lncRNA